GUGGGUGGAAGCUCAUGGUAGAGGUCACAUGCUGAGUGCUCGUCACUCCACCAAUCACCUCGGGGAAGGUCUGAGACAAGAGCCAAUUGUUACCCUCACAGGGUAUCACCUGAUGCAGGUGAGUGAGUGAACAGAAAGAAUGGUCAUGUGAGCAGUUCAAGCAGGAGAAACCUGGGGUGCUAAAAACUACGGGGUAUGUGACUCUCACUGACUUGGAAUCGCUCGCGGCUGGCGGAUGAGUGCGAUGUUAGGAGGUGGGGCAUAGCCCAGAACCCAAUUCAGACUACUCUCCCCCCAC
rnacentral:RNase_P_RNA from 1 species